UUCAUAUGAUGAUACACAUAUAUCAAUUACAGUUCUGCUUCUGAACCCCUUGAUGAUACCCUAUACCUUACCAAAAUAUCUGAUAU
rnacentral:snoRNA from 1 species